AGUGAACGCUGGCGGUAGGCCUAACACAUGCAAGUCGAACGGCAGCACAGUAAGAGCUUGCUCUUACGGGUGGCGAGUGGCGGACGGGUGAGGAAUACAUCGGAAUCUACUUUUUCGUGGGGGAUAACGUAGGGAAACUUACGCUAAUACCGCAUACGACCUACGGGUGAAAGCAGGGGAUCUUCGGACCUUGCGCGAUUGAAUGAGCCGAUGUCGGAUUAGCUCGUUGGCGGGGUAAAGGCCCACCAAGGCGACGAUCCGUAGCUGGUCUGAGAGGAUGAUCAGCCACACUGGAACUGAGACACGGUCCAGACUCCUACGGGAGGCAGCAGUGGGGAAUAUUGGACAAAGGGCGCAAGCCUGAUCCAGCCAUACCGCGUGGGUGAAGAAGGCCUUCGGGUUGUAAAGCCCUUUUGUUGGGAAAGAAAAGCAGCAGGUUAAUACCCCGCUGUUCUGACGGUACCCAAAGAAUAAGCACCGGCUAACUUCGUG
rnacentral:rRNA from 1 species